rnacentral:rRNA from 1 species
CUUUCAGCUGUUGGGGAGGUAAUGCUCACCCAAGGCGUCGACCGGUAGCCGACCGGGGAGGUGACCGGCCAAACCGGGACUGAGACACGGCCCAGACUCCUACGGGAGGCAGCAGUGGGGAAUAUUGCACAAUGGGCGAAAGCCCGAUGCAGCAACGCCGCGUGAGGGACGACGGCCUUCGGGUUGUAAACCUCUUCUAGCAGGGAAGAAGCGAAAGUGACGGUACCUGCAGAACAAGCGCCGGCUAACUACGUGCCAGCAGCCGCGGUAAUACGUAGGGCGCAAGCGUUAUCCGGAAUUAUUGGGCGUAAAGAGCUCGUAGGCGGUUUGUCGCGUCUGCUGUGAAAACUGGAGGCUCAACCUCCAGCCUGCAGUGGGUACGGGCAGACUAGAGUGCGGUAGGGGAGAUUGGAAUUCCUGGUGUAGCGGUGGAAUGCGCAGAUAUCAGGAGGAACACCGAUGGCGAAGGCAGAUCUCUGGGCCGUAACUGACGCUGAGGAGCGAAAGGGUGGGGAGCAAACAGGCUUAGAUACCCUGGUAGUCCACCCCGUAAACGUUGGGAACUAGUUGUGGGGUCCAUUCCACGGAUUCCGUGACGCAGCUAACGCAUUAAGUUCCCCGCCUGGGGAGUACGGCCGCAAGGCUAAAACUCAAAGGAAUUGACGGGGACCCGCACAAGCGGCGGAGCAUGCGGAUUAAUUCGAUGCAACGCGAAGAACCUUACCAAGGCUUGACAUAUACGAGAACGGGCUAGAAAUAGUCAACUCUUUGGACACUCGUAAACAGGUGGUGCAUGGUUGUCGUCAGCUCGUGUCGUGAGAUGUUGGGUUAAGUCCCGCAACGAGCGCAACCCUCGUUCUAUGUUGCCAGCACGUAAUGGUGGGAACUCAUGGGAUACUGCCGGGGUCAACUCGGAGGAAGGUGGGGAUGACGUCAAAUCAUCAUGCCCCUUAUGUCUUGGGCUUCACGCAUGCUACAAUGGCCGGUACAAAGGGCUGCAAUACCGUAAGGUGGAGCGAAUCCCAAAAAGCCGGUCCCAGUUCGGAUUGAGGUCUGCAACUCGACCUCAUGAAGUCGGAGUCGCUAGUAAUCGCAGAUCAGCAACGCUGCGGUGAAUACGUUCCCGGGUCUUGUACACACCGCCCGUCAAGUCAUGAAAGUCGGUAACACCUGAAGCCGGUGGCCCAACUCCUUGUGGAGCGUGAGCA